rnacentral:rRNA from 1 species
AAGUGGCGCACGGGUGAGUAACACGUAGGUAAUCUACCUUCGGGUGGGGAAUAACCCAGGGAAACUUGGGCUAACACCGCAUAAUGCACACAUGGUGACAGUUGUUAAAGCGGGGGAUUUUAGGACCUCGCGCCUGAAGAGGAGCCUGCGGCGGAUUAGCUAGUUGGUGAGGUAACGGCUCACCAAGGUGACGAUCCGUAGCCGGCCUGAGAGGGCGGUCGGCCACACUGACACUGACAUACGGGUCAGACUCCUACGGGAGGCAGCAGUCGGGAAUUUUGGGCAAUGGGCGAAAGCCUGACCCAGCAACGCCGCGUGAAGGAUGAAAUCCCUCGGGAUGUAAACUUCGCAAGAAUGGGAAGAAUUAGUAGGGGUUAAUACCCCCUAUGAUGACGGUACCAUUUGUAAGCUCCGGCUAACUCCGUGCCAGCAGCCGCGGUAAUACGGGGGGAGCAAGCGUUGUUCGGAUUUACUGGGCGUAAAGGGCGCGUAGGCGGUCAGCACAAGUCAGUUGUGAAAUCUCCGGGCUUAACCCGGAAAGGUCAACUGAUACUGUGCGACUAGAGUGCGGAAGGGGCAACUGGAAUUCUCGGUGUAGCGGUGAAAUGCGUAGAUAUCGAGAGGAACACCUGCGGCGAAGGCGGGUUGCUGGGCCGACAC